GGCGCUGGUGGGAUACUACCCUAGCUGUGUUGGCUUUCUAACCCGCACCACUUAUCGUGGUGGGAGACAGUGUCAGGCGGGCAGUUUGACUGGGGCGGUCGCCUCCUAAAAGGUAACGGAGGCGCUCCAAGGUUCCCUCAGAAUGGUUGGAAAUCAUUCAUAGAGUGUAAAGGCAUAAGGGAGCUUGACUGCGAGACCUACAAGUCGAGCAGGGUCGAAAGACGGACUUAGUGAUCCGGUG
rnacentral:rRNA from 1 species